AUGAAUAAAAUCUUUAAAAAAUUUAAUAAAAUCGAGACAUGCCCCCUUAACUUUCUGAUUUGCAAUCCGAAGGCCUCCUGCUCGUUAGCGGCCCAGCCCCCGGUGUACGCACAGCUCCACGAGGCUGGGGUGCGGCCUGUCCGGUGCGGAGCCGCAUUUACACCUGCAACAGAGUCCGCGGGGUGGAAGUGGGUCCUCCCUCCUCUUCCCACGGUCCGCAGUGCGCCGGCCCCGAGGAGCUGCAGGCAGGCCGGGCCCCGAGACGGUGCGGCCCAGGGCCCACUGCGGUCAUGCCGCCACCAGGUCCUUCUGCGAUCGGUGCUCUGGGCCCACGCGGGCAGUGGGACCCACUGCCGCCCCGGCUUCCUCGGCCCACUCCCACUCCCACUCCCACCCGCUGGCUGCUCCCUUCAGGCCUCUUUCCUCUGUCCCCAGGGUCGGUGUCCCCUCACCGCACAGGCCUUCUCUGACCUGGACCACAAGAAGCGGGUGCCACCUGUGUCGGCCUCGCCACCACCUGCCGGUCACCCCCGGCCUGGCCGCCCAGUCCCCAGAGCUCCCGACCUCCCCUUCUGCCUCUUCCUCCACACGCCAUCUCUGCACAGGAAGGUCAAGGUCCCAGACGCUGCACCGGGGCUGCGGCCCGUCCUGCACUCAUGGGCCGCAGGUCACAGUGACAGCAGCGGCCGGCGGAUGACAGGAGCCCGGGGAAGCACCAGUUCCCAGGCCUGCUGUUCGGGUGCUGUUCGGGGUCCUCAAUCACAGGGGCCCCGCUCACUCGCCAGAGUAGAUCCCCCGACAAAGGGACUGGGGGUGCGAGUGGGAGAGGAGAGCCAGGCAAGAGGGAAGGGAGUGCUCAGCCCAUCCGGGGGCUGGGGGGUGGGGGGUGGGGGGAAGCUGCUCCCUGUGAAGGGCUCGCAGGACAGAAGCACAGGAAGGGCUGCUGGGCCCUGGGCCCAACCCGUCCGCACCCGCCCGCUCGGCCCUCGUCCAGGGCUCUGA
rnacentral:lncRNA from 1 species